rnacentral:rRNA from 1 species
UACAGAGGAGCCAAGCGUUGUCCGGAUUGACUGGGCGUAAAGCGCACGCAGGCGGUUGCGCGCGUGGGGUGUGAAAUCUGGCCGCUUAACGGCCAGGCGCCAUCCCAUACGGCGCGACUGGAGUGAUGCAGAGGUCGAUGGAAUUGCCGGUGUAGUGGUGAAAUGCGUAGAGAUCGGCAGGAACACCCAGGGGGAAACCAGUCGACUGGGCAUCUACUGACGCUGAGGUGCGAGAGCGUGGGGAGCGAACGGG